UGGUCAUCAGGGGUACUACCAAGUUUAU
rnacentral:piRNA from 1 species